rnacentral:piRNA from 1 species
UGAAAGAGUUAUUAGCCACCAAGUAU